GGAUGGGUGACCUCCUGAGAAGUUUUCCAUUCCACUUAUAGAACAAAACCGUGAGGCUCAGGAUAAGGUUGGCCAAAGUAGACAAUUCCUCUAGUGUCUGGAGCAGAGCAUUACACCACCUUAGUUUACACACAUGUUUUUAAAAAUUCUUCUUAGUUUUAUUAAUUUAUAUUUUAGGGGCUCCUUUUCAUGUUCUUUGCCAAGGCAUGUUCUCCUUUUGCCUUUUUAUUAAUGCUUCACUUCUAAAAUGAUUAGUUAAUUACUUAGAAUAAACCAAGAAAAUAGAUAUUGAAUUAAGGUAUGACUAAUUACAUACAAAGUUUCCUC
rnacentral:misc_RNA from 1 species